GGGCCGUUAGCUCAGUUGGUAGAGCACCUGCCUUUUAAGCAGGGAGUCGCUGGUUCGAGACCAGCACGGCCCACCA
rnacentral:tRNA from 1 species